AUACAUAUACACAGGUGAGUUCCUGACUUGGAUGGUACAGUGUGUAUGUGUGUGCUUAGCGUACUUGGAAUACUUGGGGGGAAGGUUAUGGUGAGAGAGCGAAAGUGUAGGGAGAGAAA